AGAGGUAAAUCCACAUGGGGACAGGUACAACUAGACGUCAUAGGACGAAUAGGAAAAACUCGACGUUUAUCGACACCAACGGAGAGGAGGAAACUCUACUGGGGAGAGUGAACACAACCAAAUCAUCAACGGAUGAUUGGGAAAAACUCGACGUUUAUCGACACCAACGGAGAGAAGGAAAACUCAACCAGACAUCAUAGGACGAAAGGGAGACUCACGUUUAUCGACACCAACGGAGAGGAGGAAAACUCAACCAGACAUCAUAGGACGCAAGGGAGACUCACGUUUAUCGACACCAACGGAGAGGAGGAAUCUUCACUAGGGAAGGGAUAGCGAC
rnacentral:lncRNA from 1 species